rnacentral:rRNA from 1 species
AUUGAACGCUGGCGGCAGGCUUAACACAUGCAAGUCGAGCGGGGGAAGGUAGCUUGCUACCGGACCUAGCGGCGGACGGGUGAGUAAUGCUUAGGAAUCUGCCUAUUAGUGGGGGACAACAUCUCGAAAGGGAUGCUAAUACCGCAUACGUCCUACGGGAGAAAGCAGGGGAUCUUCGGACCUUGCGCUAAUAGAUGAGCCUAAGUCGGAUUAGCGAGUUGGUGGGGUAAAGGCCUACCAAGGCGACGAGCUGUAGCGGGUCUGAGAGGAUGAGCCGCCACACUGGGACUGAGACACGGCCCAGACUCCUACGGGAGGCAGCAGUGGGGAAUAUUGGACAAUGGGGGGAACCCUGAUCCAGCCAUGCCGCGUGUGUGAAGAAGGCCUUAUGGUUGUAAAGCACUUUAAGCGAGGAGGAGGCUACUUUAGUUAAUACCUAGAGAUAGUGGACGUUACUCGCGGAAUAAGCACCGGCUAACUCUGUGCCAGCCGCCGCAGUAA